rnacentral:rRNA from 1 species
UACGAAGGGGGCUAGCGUUGUUCGGAAUUACUGGGCGUAAAGCGUAUGCAGGCGGAUCUCUAAGUCGGGGGUGAAAUCCUGGAGCUCAACUCCAGAACUGCCUUUGAUACUGGCAAUCUCGAGUCCGGGAGAGGUGAGUGGAACUGCGAGUGUAGAGGUGAAAUUCGUAGAUAUUCGCAAGAACACCAGUGGCGAAGGCGGCUCACUGGCCCGGUACUGACGCUGAGGUGCGAAAGCGUGGGGAGCAAACAGG